AUGGUUUUGAAUUUGAAUUAGAAAAGAAUAUGAUUUUAUUUUAAUUUUAUUUUAAAAAAAUUCGUCGAUGUUUCCUAUGCCAACAGAAAGGUUGAAGGGAGAGAAAAAUCAUGAAGCAGAGAGAAGCCACUCGCACCCUAAGGUCAUCCCCACCAUCUUCAACCAACUCCAACCACCACCCUCAUCAACGAACCUCACCCACCAUCAGUCACGCAACACGAGUCGGCCAAAUCACCUACCACCAGUCAAGCGAUACAAAUUAGGCCUUUAAAUGGUAGAAUUCGGCUACGAAAACCUCAGAUCUGUAGUUGGAAUAUUGAUGGUCGAAUUCCCCCGGAAAAUCCGGUGAUGAGCGGCUGUAGGAAAUGAUUGGGGGGAACAUUAACAGUCAACCUGAAUUUGACUAAGGAUGUUGGUGAUUGUCAUUUGUUGUUUCCAAGGUGGUAUGCGGAAAGGAACACGUGGGGUCCUGCAUAUCUAAAGCAUUUAUUUUGGGCUGGCAUGAAGACGACCCAAGGAAUUGAAAGUAUAAACAACUUUUUUGACUUAUAUGUACACAAGAAUACGCAUUUGUAUGAAUUUGUCGAGUCUUACUGUGAAGCAAUGGAGUCAAGGGCAUAUAAAGAAAGUUUGGAUGAUACUGGUACUGCGAGAAAUUUGAGUCAACUUGUUACCUGUUUCCGAACCGAGGAGGUUUGUUAGAAAAUAUAGACAGACGCCAAAUUCCAUGAGGUCCAAAGAUAGUGUAGUAGGGUAUUGUAUGUGCGGUGUUUGAAUAAGAAAAUGUCGGAUGAGUAUGUUGAAGAGUAUGAGCAUGUUGAAGAGUAUGAGCUUCAGGAUAGGGUUUGGAUAAAAUCUAAACACGCAAGGAAGGAGAUUGUUACAAAGCACAAGAUGAAGUUUCUUGCAAAGUAUAAUUGCGUUACCAAGGAAGCUACCUGUCAAUGUAAGAACUUUGAAUGUCAUGGAAUAAUGUGUAGGCAUAUGAUAUUAUUGUUUUAUUUGAAUAACGAGACUGAAGUUCCUGGAAAAUAUAUACUCCGACGUUGGCGGAAAGAUGUUGAAAGGAAGCAUACUAAGGUGAAGGUAAUGUACCACGACCCAUUGAAGACAAAAGUUGUGUGUAGGUUAAAGUGCUUUCUAUUCAAUUCUUUAAGUUUACCUCAUAAGUAUUGUCAGAAUGUGAUGUUGAAAGGUGAUGUAAAAUAUGGAUAGGUACGAUAAGUUAAUUGUGUUGUUUGGCCCUAUAUGCACAAACACAGCUUGUUACAAAGAAUAAAUGGAUUUUGUUGUUGAAAUGUUUCAAUUGUUGGAAAUUCUGGUGGAUCGAUGAGAAGACUGCAAUGCUUCACAGACAAAGGGAGAAUGAAGAUGUUGGUGUUGGAACCCCUUCUUCUGUAUGUUUGGCGAAAAGUGGUACAGAAUUUACCCCCUCGUCUGUUGGGAAUUUGCAACCUAUAGUACGACGUACAUUGAUGUUUGAUUCCCCACAAACAAAUGAACAUGCAUGAAGGGAGUUGUGAUGAUGGUGGUGGUGAUGGUGUAUCAAGAAGCUUAGAUGCAAGUGUUGUUGGUUUAUAAGGAAGCUUCAAUGCAAGAGUAGAUGCAUUGGUUGAUGAUGAUGAUGAAGGCACUCCUAGUAUAGAUGUAAUCUGUAGACACCUACUUUUGUCCCCAUUCCCGAAAGGGAAGGUUCGAUGAUGAGAACAUAAAUCUCCAUUUGGCAACGCAUCUCCUAUAAAAUAACGAAUAUCGAUCACCCUUUUCAUUUCAACCUAACCUGCUAUUUAUAGAAACCUGCUAAAAAUAGUAAUUGCCAUAACGGGUAGUUGUUAAAAGUGGCAAGACAUAAAAGAUAGAAAUCUGUCGGAAUUAGGUGUUGCACUCCAACAUAAAUCCUAAAAGAGAUAGAAUUUACAAAAGGAAUUAUGUUCCUGCUAUAAUUCGGAAAUAAGAGUUACGUAUUAAUUAAACUCCUAACGAACCUACAGUUCGUAACGGGCCCAGACGCAUUCCGUCAUAAGUUGAUACGCACUAAGAAACUCGGAUAAGUCUCAAAAGCUCCGUGAUUAAGAGUCCAAAUCUGACAAAAGGCUCCGCUCAGACCCUAUUUUCAACGCCUGGGUCUGGGCGCCGAAAUCAUCGGCGCCCAGCCCUGGGCGCUGAAAAUACCUGGGGCCGUGUUGUCUCCGAAUUCUCUUUGGGUUCGGAUUCUAAAGAUCUAUCUUUCCAUAAACUCUUUCCCUAUAAAUACAGCCUCAUAAUCGACGAGAACAGAACACACAAUUCAUAAUCUAAGUAUUGACUCCAACCCCUAAGCCUAAGCCUCACGCUGCGAAAUUAAUCCCGCGUUCUGUCGUAAUCGACCCAAAAGUCGAACAGAACGUAUCAUGUCCCUUGUAGCUGAAGAAUUAAGCUUAAAUACUGGAACACUGCUCAGAAACCCGAGAUUCGUUAAAUAAAAGGAGAAAUAGCAAAGCCAAGUGGUUAGUUUUCUGAGAACCGUGACGCAGCUCUCAAGGGUGCGUCGUAAUGUGUCCCUUCGUAUGAUUUAAUUGCUUUCAUCACCCUUUUAUAAAAUUGAUAAACUAUUAAUUUGAUUGAUCUAUCACGCCUAAUAAAGAUAAUACCUUGGACAAUUAAACUAUCAUGCUAGGUACCUUAAAUCAAUCUAAACAAGAUAAUCACGAUCGAUUUAGUAUAUGUGUUGCAUACUGCUAAAAUCAAUUCAGAAUAGUUUAAUAGUUAACGCAUGUCUCUUCAAUUAUUUAUGAUGAGCUAGUAAGGAUAACCUGCCUCUGGAGUUAUCGAUGAGCACUCCUCUCGGUAGUUACAGUCCCCCGAACUCUCAAUCUCUGCCCUGCGGGUGUACGUUGAGCGAUCCCCACACCAGGGAUCACAAGGGAACCGAUGGCCGUCGUGGUCGAACAUAAUUGCACUCCCUUUAUGUCACGAUAACCGGGUUUUGUCAGUUUUUCUCAUUGUCGUUAAAAACUGAAUGACGACUCCUAUAUUACUAGUCGAUUGGGUGUAAACUCACAGGAAAUCUAACUACACUUGAUCCGACAACGUCACGCCCAUGAGGGACGAGGUCAUGCAUUAGCCUCGUGCUUUUUCGACCCCUCACAGUGGCGACUCCACUGGGGAACGUUAAUGAAAUACUCGUGCUCGUAGGUAAUAAAAAUAGCCGAAGGGUGAAACGAUCCUACUCCGCGUUUAUUUCCUUAUCAUGUUGGGACGACCUGAAAAUCAACAUAUUAACGUGAACGGACAAAACCGCAUAAUGAAUCUCGGCUCCCUUGGCAUGUUUCAUCUCGGGAGUUGGGACUAAGGAUACCCAUCGCCAACCGGGGGAUGCAUACGCUUCGAAUGUUGUCCACUUGACACUUGUCGCUAGUAGUACACCCGUCCCAAACCCAAUCGCUCGCCCACUAAGGUCCCUCUCAUUGGUGCAUGCCCCCUUGGCUUACAUCAUGAUUGGCCUCUUGGGACGAAAUUCGUCUGUUUAAUGCACUACCUCGACCGGGGCAUGUGUUGGAUCUAUGAUAGAAGCGGUACGAAGCCAGGCGCAAAUAUUACCCAUAGAAGCCUAUAAUAAACUACGUGACAUAUUAUUUUUUGCUUCAUGUUGUAAUGCUAGUUAUAUGUAGCGAAUUACGUGAUUAUGUUGUGAUUGUGUGUGACAAAUAACGCUAGAAAACCAACGACCCUAAAAAUUUCCCAAACAUUCACAAACACCGAUUGGCCAAAGAGUUAUACCAAAAUACGUGUCCCGCAACCCCGGGCUAUCGCCACAAAAAUAAGCGAAGCCUAGGAUGGCCCGUAACGGAUCCCACAACGCUGCACAACGCGUAAAGGACGUUAUUAGGCAAGCACGCAAAAAUAAGUCGCAUGUACGAAAAAAUAGACGAACAGAAUAUGAGUACCACUCAGGGACGCAUUUUCAGCGCCCCUGGCUGGGCCCCAAUCAUUUCAACGCCCCCUACUGGGCGCUGAAGUUGCUGCUUGGCCUUUUGGCCAGGCGUCGCAGCCUCGGUGCCCGCGCACAAAAUAUACGUAGCAAUAAAAAAUUCGUAACAAAUUUGCUACGAGGGCGUACGGAAAAGGCACUCAAUUCUAAAAACGACUUACGAAAUAAAUAGUGCCCUUGGUCCAAGUAUGCAUAUAAUAUUAAGUCUAAUAAAUGCGGUUCAGUAUUAAUUAACAAGUUAAUAAUUCAGUGAGAUCAAGUGAGCUGAAUGCCUAGCUAGAGGCCGCUUCAGUUCAAGUGGAAUUAAUGAUAUUAAUCCACAGCUUACUCUUGACUGAACCCGUAGGGUCACACAAAUAGUACGUAAACGGAUCAAGUAUUUAAUGGCAUUAAAUACUCCAUCUAUGGAUAUUCGGAAUCGACGGAUCUUGGUUUCAGUGGGAGCUGAGAUCGUCACAAGCAAGAAAUGAAUACUCCGGAAAGGAUGAUAUUACCGGAAACGGAAAUAUGGAUCGUAUCGGAAAUAUAAAUAUUAUCCAAGUCGUAAAUGUUGCCGGAAACGGAAACAUGGUACGUAUCGGAAAAUAUUAAUGGAAAUGGAAAUAUUGCCGGAAUCGGAAAUAUUGCCGGAAACGGAAAUAUUGUCAGAAUCGGAAAUAUUAUCGGAAUCAGAAAAUAAUUCCGGAAACGGAAAUAUUAAAUAUUUGUUCGAAACGGAAUUAAUUCCGGAAUCGGAAAUAUUAAAUAUUGUUCGUAUCGGAAAUGAUUUCCGGAAUCGGAAAUUUAAUCGGAAGCGUAUCGUACGAGUUAGCAUCGGACGAGGCUCGCUAGACGAAGGCCCAGCACGAAGCCAGGCCAUCGCCCAGCAAGCCACACGCAUCACCAACACACGCCAAGCCUCGACCAGGCCCAGCGCAAGGCCAGGCCCAGCCAAGGCCUUGGGCGCUCGCGCGGACACAGGCAGCAGCAUGGGCCGAGCGCUGUGUGCUCAGCGUGGGCCGCAAGGCCUGCGCGAGUGUGCGGUGCUCGUGCGAUGCUCGUGUACGCGCUAUACGAAUCCUAAAGCUAUCAGGAAUCGAUGUAUGAUUAAAUUCCUAAUCCUAAAAGGAUAAAUUAAUUAAAUAAGAGUUCUACUAGGAUUCUAGUUUAAUUAAUUCGUACCCUAGUAGGAUUCCAGUUCAUUUUCCAUACCUCUAUAAAUAGGUGCCUAGGGUCAUAAUUUAUAGACACAAUUGAAGUAUUCUAAAGGUAAGAUUUUGUAGAAAAAUCAGCCAUAUACUUGCACCUAAAUAGCCGAAAUUCCUAAGCAACCUUAAGGGCGAUUCUAGUUGGUCAAGCUUAAGGCGGAUCCGGACGUGCUGUGGACUAUCUACGAAGGGACGACACUUGGAGUCCUAAAGACUUGUUAUUGUUCGGUUCGGGCGCAGCUAGGGAGGGCACGCAACAAAGUGUAUGCAUCUAAACUAUGCUAAAUGAAUAUGUGUAAAUAAUAUGCUUUCCUGGCUUUAUGGUUUUUUCCACAUGAUUUAUGUAUUGUCAUAUGUAUCAUAACCUAACAGUGGUAUCAGAGCCUCUUAUUAUUUUCAUAAUCUAAAUUGCAUAAACAUGGUUAAUUUUCAA